GAUGAACGCUGGCGGCGUGCCUAAUACAUGCAAGUCGAGCGAACGGACGAGAAGCUUGCUUCUCUGAUGUUAGCGGCGGACGGGUGAGUAACACGUGGAUAACCUCCCUAUAAUACUGGGAUAACUUCGGGAAACCGGAGCUAAUCCCGGAUAAUAUUUUGAACCGCAUGGUUCAAAAGUGAAAGACGGUCUUGCUGUCUCUUAUAGAUGGAUCCGAGCUGCAUUAGCUAGUUGUUAAGGUAACGGCUUACCAAGGCAACGAUGCAUAGCCGACCUGAGAGGGUGAUCGGCCACACUGGAACUGAGACACGGUCCAGACUCCUACGGGAGGCAGCAGUAGGGAAUCUUCCGCAAUGGGCGAGAGCCUGACGGAGCAACGCCGCGUGAGUGAUGAAGGUCUUCGGAUCGUAAAACUCUGUUAUUAGGGAAGAACAUAUGUGUAAGUAACUGUGCACAUCUUGACGGUACCUAAUCAGGAAGCCACGGCUAACUACGUG
rnacentral:rRNA from 1 species